GGCCUGAAGCCCCGCCGGAUCAGCUUAAGGUGGACUGUCUGUCCGGUGUGUUUGAGCACUUCCACGGCCUGUUGGUUGGUACGGCUCUGAGCAGUCGGAACAAGACAAAAACAUCAAGAUGGAUGAGGAGAGGAGUCGUGAAUCAUGACGUUAUAAAUGCAGACCCAAGGAGAGAAGAAAACAGAUGUUCAAGCUUAAUGUGGGGAGCACCACUGGCAUGACAGCAGAGGCCGAGGCGCUCUCCUCCACGGGGCCCCUGGUGACCACCAGCUUCACCCGGUUGCCAC